GUGCCAGCCGCCGCGGUAAUACGGAGGAUCCGAGCGUUAUCCGGAAUUAUUGGGUUUAAAGGGUCCGUAGGCGGGCCAUUAAGUCAGGGGUGAAAGUCUGCGGCUCAACCGCAGAACUGCCUUUGAUACUGGUGGCCUUGAGUUAUGGUGAAGUGGCUAGAAUAUGUGGUGUAGCGGUGAAAUGCAUAGAUAUCACAUAGAAUACCGAUUGCGAAGGCAGGCCACUAACCAUUGACUGACGCUGAUGGACGAAAGCGUGGGUAGCGAACAGGAUUAGAUACCCUGGUAGUCCACGCCGUAAACGAUGGAUACUAGCUGUCCGGGCCACAUUGGUGGCCUGGGCGGCCAAGCGAAAGUGAUAAGUAUCCCACCUGGGAGUACGGCCGCAAGGUGAAACUCAAAGGAAUUGGCGG
rnacentral:rRNA from 1 species